AAAUUCGGAUAACGACGUGGGGCGGUCUGGUUGGUAAUGGUGGUUAGCUUAGCUACUCGCAUGCAUGAAUGCACGAUUGACCCAAGUGGAAGUAGCGUUAUUUUAUACGUUUUAAAAAUAGCGGGUUAGUUCUUGUUCAGGAUUGUCUUCUACAAUUAGCUGGAGCCGUUUGCUAUUGUUAAAUCGUUUCGCUAAAACAUUGAUUGGCGCGAAAAUUCGCCAUUUUACGCAUUCAACACUUAAAGACUUUUUCCUGGAGUAAGGCGGACCGUGUUGUAKACAAUGGCCGAAGCAGACCGACCAGGGAAGCUUUUUAUCGGCGGUUUGAACAUUGAGACCACCGAGAAGGCCUUGGAGCAAUACUUCAACAAAUACGGCAGGAUUGUUGAAGUUCUUCUGAUGAAGGAUCGUGACACAAAUAAAUCAAGAGGCUUUGCAUUUGUUACCUUUGAAAAUCCUGCUGAUGCAAAAGAUGCAGCACGUGAAAUGAAUGGAAAGUCUCUUGAUGGCAAGUCUAUCAAAGUGGAGCAAGCCACAAAACCUCAGUUUGAAAGUUCUGGCAGGCGAGGCCCUCCAAUGCACUCCCGCAGUCGUGGUCCGCCCAGAGGACCCCGUGGUUCUAGAGGAGGCAUGAGGGGUCCCCCAUCCAGAGACUACUAUGAUUCAGGAUCUGAGGAACCCUUCUAUAAAGGGAUGUCAUCCAGAGGUCCCCCACCACUGAAACGUGGUCCCCCAGUUCGUAAUGGAGGUCCCCCACUAAAGAGACCGGCCCCAUCUGGUCCUAUGAGUAGACCACCAAUGUCAAGAGACAGAGAUCCAUAUGGUCCACCCCCACCUCGCAGAGACUCGAUGUCCAGGAGGGAUGAUUACUCAUCACCAAGAGAUGACCAUUACAACCCUAGAGACAACUAUUCAAGUCGGGAUUACAAUUCCAGAGAUUCAAGGGACUACGGACCUCCCCCCAGAGACUACUCAUACAGAGACUAUUCCAAUUCCAGCUCCCGUGAUGACUAUGGCUCAAUGCCAAGAGGAUACAGUGACCGCGAUAGUUAUGGAAGUGGUCGAGAACCCAGAGGCUAUAUGGAUCGUCCAAGUGGUGGCUCCUACCGAGAUUCAUACGAUGGUUAUGGAUGAACAACGCUCACAGGCAAUGGCUCGUGUAAUGUACCCGAAUAUGUUCUGAAGUUGUUGGAUCAAUUCAACCUCAGUGGAUCAGCCAAGGACAAGCUCUCUUUGCUCCAUGUACCAGACUUCACUCGCAGGUGGAUCACAGAUUUCCUGACAGACCACGGUCAGCGCGUGCAGCUGGGGAAAGUUGUCUCGGACACACAGACUAUAAGCACAGGAUCUCCACAGGGCUGUGUUCUCUCCCCUCUGCUCUUCUCUCUGUACACUAACUGUUGCACCUCCAGCCAUGACUCCAUAAAACUUAAGUUUGCGGACGACACCACCCUCAUCAGGCUCAUCUCUGAUGGUGAUGAGUCUGCCUACAGGUGGGAGGUGGACCGGCUGGUGACCUGGUGCAGCAGCAUCAACCUGGAGCUCAACGCCCAGAAAACAGUGGAAAUGAUUGUGGAUUACAGAAAGGCCACAGCCCCUCUGCCCCCCCCUCACCCUUAACGAGACCCCCAUCACAACUGUAGCUUGCUACCAGUUCCUCAGCACCACCAUCACCCAGGACCUCAAGUGGGAGCCGACCAUCAGUUCCCUCAUCAAGCAGGCCCAGUAGAGGAUGUACUUCCUGCGACAGCUGAAGAAAGCUACGCUGCCGGCCAGGCUGAUGGUUCUACACAGCCAUCGUGGAGUCCAGCCUCAGCUCCUCCAUCACGGUGUGGUAUGCCGGGGCCACUGCCAGGGACAGACACAGACUGCAGCGCACUAUGCGCUCUGCUGAGAAGGUGAUCGACUGCAGCCUCCCAUCUCUCCAUGACCUGUACGUCUCCAGGACUGUGAGGCGAGCAGGUGGGAUCACAGCUGACCCUUCUCACCCUGCAGCCUGUUCAUACUAGGGUUGGGCAUAAUCGUAUCGUUUGCAAUUAAUCGUCAAAAAAACAUUAAUCGAUUAUUUUUUUU